CAUAUUUGCCAAACAACAUUAUUUAGAGACUGUGCGAAUGGGCGCUACGAGUGGCAUUCAUUCCAACCGUACAAUAAGAAUAUUAUUUUUGCUGAAUUAAAAUUAAAAUAAAAAAAUUUUCUGAGUGCUUGGGACUAGAGGUGACAACCCAGCUUGCUAUUUGCGAGCCAGCUCAUAUUUGGUUCAAAAUGAGCUCGCGAUUAAAUCGCUCGUUUAAUAAAUGAGCCGAACAUAAGCUAAAUUUUUUAGCUCGUUUAAUAAACGAGCCGAACACGAGCUAAAUUUUUCAGCUCGUUUAAUAAAUGAGCCGAACACGAGCCGGGGUCAGCUCGCGUGUUCGGCUCGAUAACAGCUCGAAUAUAUAUAUAUAUAUAUAUAUAUAUAUAUAUAUAUAUAUAUAUAUAUAUAUAUAUAUAUAUAUNUAUAUAUAUAUAUAUAUAUAUAUAUAUAUAUAUAAUUUAAGUUUUUAUUAUUUGAUUUUUAACUUAAUCUAAAUAUAAAGUCCAACUCAAUUAUAAAAGGGUCAUUUAUGUGUAGAGUUUCAACUAUUAGAUCAAAGUCAAAUAGGUAAAAUCUCGUAAAUUUAUUUUCGAUAUGCAUCUUUAAUAAUUCUUUUAAUUUGUUGUUUAUGAACCAGCUCGUGUUUGGUUCGUUAAUAAACAAAGCGAAUACUAGUCGAAAUUUUCGACUCGAUACAUUAACGAGAUAGCUCGUGUUCGGCUCUUUUAUGAAACACGCUUCAUAAACAAGCUGAACACGAGAUGGCCUUAGUUCGCUAGUGUUCGGGUCGUUGACACUCCUAAUUGGGACGGAUGAUAGUCGUCAUUUGGUGUCUAUCUAGAUAAUCCUCUGACAAUCUUUUCUCAUUUUUUAUAUUUUUUUUAAAAAAAGAAUUUAAAUUAUAAUUUUUUGAUUUAUAGUUUUUAAUUUAAACAAUUAUAUUCAAUCUUUUUAAAACUCUUUUAAAAAUUUUAUAAAUUUUAAAAGAAAACUAAAACACUAAAAAUAAAUUAACUUUUUAAUAUUAUUAGUUUUUAAUAUUAUAUACAGUUUUAAACUUAGAAAUCAAUAAUUUUAACUUUUCAAUUUCAGAGAUUUUUAAUAUAAAUAUUUUAAUUUAUAUUUCUUUGAUCCAAUAACCAACUUUAAUACGAAAUUAAUAUUAGUUUUUUUAAUUUUUGACCAAAAUGCUCUCUCUAACGGUCAAAAUUUUGAAUGUUAGUGAGCGCAUUGUGGUUAUUUUGAUCAAAUAAAUGUCUUUUUUAAUUUUUUAACCCUUUUUUAAAAAAGAUAAAAAACAAAAAGUAUUGUUUUCAAAAAAAAAAAAGAAGCAUCCCAACAGAUCAAGAGCCGUUGGGCUCACAAUUUUUGGCUCGGAGAUGAGUAAGAACUGCCUAUUCCAAAAAUAGAUACAGGUUUCAGAUAUAAGUUUGAAAUAAACCAAUUUUGUGUUUUGUUAAAAAUUGAGUUAUUUUUGGGAAUAAAAAAAUAACGUUUAGACAGAUAAGAUGGAAUAAGAAGAAUAAUGAGUAGUUAUAAAUAUAAAAUAACGAUAUUACCUCUUAUAUUUGAAUUUAAAUUUUAUAUUUUAAAUUUAAAAUUUAAAUAUAUAACUUUAAAUUUUGAAAAGUUCAAAAUAAAAUUUAAUUUUUUAAAUCUCAAAUUCAAAAAUUUAAAGUUCUAACUUUUAAAUUUAAGAUUAAAUUUAAAUUUAAAANAAAUUUAAAUUUGAGUUUAAAUCGUGAAUUAAAUUUAAUUUUUGAUUUUUAAUAUCAAAUCUAUCUAUCUACUUUAUAUUAAAAUUAAAAUUUGAUAUUGUAGAUAUUUUCUAAUAAAAAUAACAUAUAAAUUUAGAAAUUAUUUUAUUAUAAAUUUUUUAAUAAAUAUGAUUUACAAAUUUUUAUUGAUUUAAAAUAAAUUAAAAUAAUUGCUACAUGCAUUUGCACUAGGGAUGUCAAUGGGUAUGGAUACCCGAAAUAUUACCCGAACCCGAAUCCGAACGGGGCAGGUUUACCCGAACUAAACGGGUAUGGAUUCGGUUAUGGGUAUAAAAAAUAAAAACCUGACAGAUAUGGAUACGAGUAUGGAUUUUGUAUUUACCCGAACCGACCCGAACUCGAAUAAAUUAUAUAUAUACAUAAAUUUAUUUUUAUUUAUUUAUAUAAUAUAUAAAAUAUUUAAUAAUUUUUAUCCCUUAAAUUUUUUCAUUCAACGGUAGGAUUUUUAAAACCCGUUGGGUUCAGGUCCGGGUUCGGGUUUCGAGUUUUUGAUCGGGUAUGGAUAUGGAUAUGAAUUUUUAAAACCCACCGGGUUAGGGUCCAAGUACAUGUUUUAAUUUGGUUUUCGGGUUCGGGUUUGGGUUCGGGUUUUUAAAAACCCGACCCAAAUCCGACCCGUUGACAUUCUUAAUUUGCACGUACGCUCAACUAGUGUAUAUAUACUUAUAUAUAGUUGGGCUAUAAUACUAUUGAUAGGAAAAGACUUUUUUUGCUAUCAGCUUUAUAGCUUUUGCAUCAACUUUUUUCAUUAUUUCUAACCAUUGGAUUGAAUAUUAUAAUCCAGUGGGGACCACUCAAUCCUAGGGAGGACCAUUCAACCCUAAGAGAUUAAUAUCAUCCUAAUCCUAUAAUUUCUAUCCAAGAGUUAAAAACUUGAUAGCAGAAAGAAUAUUUUGCUAUCAAUAAUAUUUCAGCCCAACUCUCUCUCUCUAUAUAUAUUACAAUUUUAUAAAUUUUUAAUUGUAUAAAUUAUUAAAUAAGUAAAAAAUUUAAAAUAA
rnacentral:lncRNA from 1 species